rnacentral:pre_miRNA from 1 species
CGUGCACUUGGGGGAGUCCCUCAGCCCGGAUUGCGAGAGGGUGCAGGUCAGGCCAAGGGACCCCACCGGUGCAUG